rfam:Listeria grayi DSM 20601 genomic scaffold SCAFFOLD1, whole genome shotgun sequence.
GUAUACACAAUCAGGAAAGUCAGAGAUAACUUGAGGCAUACGGAUUGCUACUUUUUUCUGUGAUUGCUUGAAGCAGUGCUCUGUAUAACUUGUUAAUAAGGAAAGGAAGAGAUACAAAAUGGCUUCUAAAGCGAAGAAGGCAGUUAUUGAUGUAAAGAAACAGUUUGAUACCGUUGGCAAGCAAUUUGAAAUGGUUCAAAUCUUAAAUGAAAAAGGGGAAGUCGUGAGUCCAGACUUAAUGCCUGACUUAACG